rnacentral:rRNA from 1 species
UGGCGGACGGGUGAGUAAUGUCUGGGGAAACUGCCUGAUGGAGGGGGAUAACUACUGGAAACGGUAGCUAAUACCGCAUAACGUCGCAAGACCAAAGAGGGGGACCUUAGGGCCUCUUGCCAUCGGAUGUGCCCAGAUGGGAUUAGCUAGUAGGUGGGGUAAAGGCUCACCUAGGCGACGAUCCCUAGCUGGUCUGAGAGGAUGACCAGCCACACUGGAACUGAGACACGGUCCAG